rnacentral:rRNA from 1 species
GAGUUUGAUCCUGGCUCAGAUUGAACGCUGGCGGCAUGCCUUACACAUGCAAGUCGAACGGCAGCAUGAUCUAGCUUGCUAGAUUGAUGGCGAGUGGCGAACGGGUGAGUAAUACAUCGGAACGUGCCCUGUAGUGGGGGAUAACUAGUCGAAAGAUUAGCUAAUACCGCAUACGACCUGAGGGUGAAAGUGGGGGACCGCAAGGCCUCAUGCUAUAGGAGCGGCCGAUGUCUGAUUAGCUAGUUGGUGGGGUAAAGGCCCACCAAGGCGACGAUCAGUAGCUGGUCUGAGAGGACGACCAGCCACACUGGGACUGAGACACGGCCCAGACUCCUACGGGAGGCAGCAGUGGGGAAUUUUGGACAAUGGGCGAAAGCCUGAUCCAGCAAUGCCGCGUGUGUGAAGAAGGCCUUCGGGUUGUAAAGCACUUUUGUCCGGAAAGAAAUGGCUCUGGUUAAUACCUGGGGUCGAUGACGGUACCGGAAGAAUAAGGACCGGCUAACUACGUGCCAGCAGCCGCGGUAAUACGUAGGGUCCAAGCGUUAAUCGGAAUUACUGGGCGUAAAGCGUGCGCAGGCGGUUGUGCAAGACCGAUGUGAAAUCCCCGAGCUUAACUUGGGAAUUGCAUUGGUGACUGCACGGCUAGAGUGUGUCAGAGGGGGGUAGAAUUCCACGUGUAGCAGUGAAAUGCGUAGAGAUGUGGAGGAAUACCGAUGGCGAAGGCAGCCCCCCUGGGAUAACACUGACGCUCAUGCACGAAAGCGUGGGGAGCAAAACAGGAUUAGAUACCCUGGUAGUCCACGCCCUAAACGAUGUCA